UGGGGAAUUGUUCGCAAUGGGCGCAAGCCUGACGACGCAACGCCGCGUGGAGGAUGAAGGUCUUCGGAUUGUAAACUCCUGUUGCUCGGGACGAAAUGCCUCGACCUAAUACGUCGAAGUUUGACGGUACCGAGUGAGGAAGCCCCGGCUAACUCUGUGCCAGCAGCCGCGGUAAUACAGAGGGGGCAAGCGUUGUUCGGAAUUACUGGGCGUAAAGGGCGCGUAGGCGGCCUGUUAAGUCGAACGUGAAAUCCCUGGGCUCAACCCAGGAACUGCGUCCGAUACUGGCAGGCUUGAAUCCGGGAGAGGGAUGCGGAAUUCCAGGUGUAGCGGUGAAAUGCGUAGAUAUCUGGAGGAACACCGGUGGCGAAGGCGGCAUCCUGGACCGGUAUUGACGCUGAGGCGCGAAAGCCAGGGGAGCAAACGGGAUUAGAUACCCACGUAGUCCCUGAGCGGGCUGGCAAGGCGCAU
rnacentral:rRNA from 1 species